rnacentral:rRNA from 2 species
AUGGGGGGCUGCUAAGGCUAUAAUGCAGUCGAGCGGAAGAUGGGAGCUUGCUCCCUGAUGUUAGCGGCGGACGGGUGAGUAACACGUGGGUAACCUGCCUGUAAGACUGGGAUAACUCCGGGAAACCGGGGCUAAUACCGGAUGGUUGUUUGAACCGCAUGGUUCAGACAUAAAAGGUGGCUUCGGCUACCACUUACAGAUGGACCCGCGGCGCAUUAGCUAGUUGGUGAGGUAACGGCUCACCAAGGCGACGAUGCGUAGCCGACCUGAGAGGGUGAUCGGCCACACUGGGACUGAGACACGGCCCAGACUCCUACGGGAGGCAGCAGUAGGGAAUCUUCCGCAAUGGACGAAAGUCUGACGGAGCAACGCCGCGUGAGUGAUGAAGGUUUUCGGAUCGUAAAGCUCUGUUGUUAGGGAAGAACAAGUGCCGUUCAAAUAGGGCGGCACCUUGACGGUACCUAACCAGAAAGCCACGGCUAACUACGUGCCAGCAGCCGCGGUAAUACGUAGGUGGCAAGCGUUGUCCGGAAUUAUUGGGCGUAAAGGGCUCGCAGGCGGUUUCUUAAGUCUGAUGUGAAAGCCCCCGGCUCAACCGGGGAGGGUCAUUGGAAACUGGGGAACUUGAGUGCAGAAGAGGAGAGUGGAAUUCCACGUGUAGCGGUGAAAUGCGUAGAGAUGUGGAGGAACACCAGUGGCGAAGGGGACUCUCUGGGCAGUAACUGAUUGCUGAUGAGCGAAAACGUGGGGGCAGGACAGGAAUAGAAAGCCUGGAAGUCGAAACCGUAAAAGGUAAAGGGUAAGAGGUACA